rnacentral:antisense_RNA from 1 species
UAUAGACAGCAAACAUUAUGAAUCUCGCAUUCUCGAAGACACGCACUGACGACAUCACGCACGUACGCACGCCCUGGCUGCUAGGAACGCUAUUCUCUUUACCUGGCCCUGAUGCGCGCCAGCCAACCAGGCCAAGGCCAGGGGACCUCGAGACCGGCAGCCUCGACGAAGAACCGGAAGGAGGAAGAGGAACGGGAAGGAGGAAGAUGAGAUGCGCCUACUUCUCCCUGGAGAAGCUCGAGGAAGCAGAAAUGCUGGAGAUGAGCUGCUCCUCACUCUCACUCCUGGGUGUGCUGGGCAGUGGGGUGCAAUGCGCACGUAGGUGCACACUCUCCCUGGGCGGCAGCGAGCAGCAGAGGUCUGAUCUGUGGUCGGAUGAGGAGAGGAAGUGCAAGUAAAGCAGCUGCAGCG